rnacentral:rRNA from 1 species
UACGUAGGGUGCGAGCGUUAAUCGGAAUUACUGGGCGUAAAGCGUGCACAGGCGGUGAGCUGUGUCCGAUGUGAAAGCCCCGGGCUUAACCUGGGAAUGGCAUUGGAAACUGGCUCGCUGGAGUGUGGCAGAGGGGGGUGGAAUUCCGCGUGUAGCAGUGAAAUGCGUAGAGAUGCGGAGGAACACCGAUGGCGAAGGCAGCCCCCUGGGCUAACACUGACGCUCAGGCACGAAAGCGUGGGGAGCAAACAGG